AUUUCACAGUUGGGACUGGUCAUCCUCAACAUUGCCUAUAUGAAGUCCUGAUUUGAAGAAUUCCUCCCAUCAUUCUGUUGGAAUUUGGCUUAGGGUCCAAGGACAUGAAACAAGAAUCUACCUUGAAUAUAAUGUUCCUAGAAUUCCUAACUUCAGUGAAACAUGGUCAGCCUGAAUGCUGAGGCCUUAUCAAGCCACUUUGUGCAAUAGGGCCAACUGUGAACCAUUUGCUGAGGAAGGAUUUUGACUCUGCCCAGCAGGUGCUUCCUUGGCAGAAGUGGGGAGACCCUCUUUUUCAGGUGCUGUGCUACUCAGGCACUUUGAUUUUCAUAAGAGAAUGUCUCUUAUGGAAGAGAUGUAUGAAGAGAAUGUUCCUCCUCAGUAGAUUGUUAAAGGAUACAGACCUGCCCUGGGAUGUCUGCACUCCAGGUUUCUGCUAGAGACCAUGACCUUGAACUCUGUUGUUCAUUUCUUAUCAAGAGCUCAAUUAUGAGAAAUAAAACUUUCAGUGGAUUGUUGGAAGGCUAUCAGUUUUUCCAGGCAGCCCAAAAUCCAUCCCUAGGUCCAACUAGACCAUCAAAGAACAGCAUACUUGGAUGACAUUGUUUUUGGUUUCUUCUAAACUGGACUUUACUGAGCUGGACUUUGGGGUUAAGCAAGUCAUAUGAAAGUUGCUUAUUGUACUUUUUGAAGGAGUAUUGGUGAGGGUAUUGUCAACUAUAUCUCACCAUGCCUUGUAAUGAGGACCAUAGGAGAAACUUUUUUUCAGACAUAAAUACUAGGAAAAUCUACCAUUCUCCUGAACAAAUGGAGUUGGAAAAUUUUAUGUUCUUUGUAUUUCCUGUCAAUACAUUUUUUAAAGCUGUGACUGCCUUGACACUUAGAAGUAAAUUUGGGACACUUAACAUUUGUAUAUGACAAUCUGAUAUCAUUUUUUAAAUAUAUUCAGUUUGCUUAUACAUGUGCUCCUUGACUUAUGAUGGGGUUGUAUCCAGAUGAACCCAUCAUAAUUUGGAAACGUUGCAAGUAAAAAGUGCAUG
rnacentral:lncRNA from 10 species